rnacentral:rRNA from 1 species
UUAAAUUGAAGAGUUUGAUCAUGGCUCAGAUUGAACGCUGGCGGCAGGCCUAACACAUGCAAGUCGAACGGUAACAGGAAACAGCUUGCUGUUUCGCUGACGAGUGGCGGACGGGUGAGUAAUGUCUGGGAAACUGCCYGAUGGAGGGGGAUAACUACUGGAAACGGUAGCUAAUACCGCAUAACGUCGCAAGACCAAAGAGGGGGACCUUMGGGCCUCUUGCCAUCGGAUGUGCCCAGAUGGGAUUAGCUAGUAGGUGGGGUAAWGGCUCACCUAGGCGACGAUCCCUAGCUGGUCUGAGAGGAUGACCAGCCACACUGGAACUGAGACACGGUCCAGACUCCUACGGGAGGCAGCAGUGGGGAAUAUUGCACAAUGGGCGCAAGCCU